AUGCUGGUAGACCAGAAGACCUCUGUUAUCAAUGUAAAGUCCCAGAACAGGCCUCUGACAUCAUAUCCUCCCUCUCUACAACCACCAUGUGUACAUCAGGAACCUCUGACAUCAUAUCCUCCCUCUCCACAACCACCAUGUGUACAUCAGGAACCUCUGACAUCAUAUCCUCCCUCUACAACCACCAUGUGUACCAUGUGUACAUCAGGAACCUCUGACAUCAUAUCCUCCCUCUCUACAACCACCAUGUGUACAUCAGGAACCUCUGACAUCAUAUCCUCCCUCUCUACAACCACCAUGUGUACAUCAGGAACCUCUGACGACAUAUCCUCCCUCUCUACAACCACCAUGUGUACCUCAGGAACCUCUGACAUCAUAUCCUCCCUCUCUACAACCACCAUGUGUACAUCAGGAACCUUUGACAACAUAUCCUCCCUCUCUCUCCGUUAUAUCCAGAUGUAUGAACUGCAGCACCAACCUUACUCACUACGUCGCUCGUUCAAACGUCCAGACCACACAAACACAUUCCUCCUCCAAUCCAUCUGAGCUGUGUGUAUCAUGUUGUCUGUACCAGGAAGUACGAUCAGAACUGUAAAGUGCACUUAGAGAAUGACCACAUUUCCAACAAUGCUGGUUGUAUCUAAAAACAGACAGGGGACAGACAGGAGACUCUCAGCUAGAGACAGACCGGGGCAGGGGACAGACAGGAGACUGUCUCAGCUAGAGACAGACAGGAACAGGGGCUCAGCAAGGAUUGGACUUAGUGUGUCUGGGUCUGGACAGAAGACGGCCAUUUUGAUCAAGAUACAUAGCUGUAACAGUAGUAGCAGAGAAGAUCGAGAGAACCAGGACCCAGUAAUGUCCUUCCAGUCUAUAUUGAAAGUUGGCCUGCCCAUUGGACAACAGAAAGACAAAGAUGGACGUUUUGAGGUAUGUGUGAAUGUUCUGAAGACGGACGUUUUGAGGUAUGUGUGAAUGUUCUGAGAGGAUGACAGCUUUAUCUCGUCCUCAGUUUCAGUCUGAAAUGUCCCACAGCCCUGAUUGGAUAAACAGGGAGAGAAAAAACCAACCCAGUUUAAACAAGGAUCCCUUUUCCCCCAACAGUCUUUCAGUUUGAGACGGGACAGAGACAGACAGGACAGAGACGGACAGGACAGAGACAGACAGACAGGACAGAGACAGAGGAGACAGACAGGACAGAGACAGAGGAGACAGACAGGACAGAGACAGAGGAGACAGACAGGACAGAGACAGACAGGACAGAGACAGACAGGACAGAGACAGACAGACAGGACAGAGACGGGACAGAGAACGAAACAGAGACGGGACAGAGAACGAGACAGAGAACGGGACAGAGAACGAGACAGAGAACGAGACAGAGAACGAGACAGAGAACGAGACAGAGAACGAGACAGAGAACGAGACAGAGAACGAGACAGAGAACGGGACAGAGAACGAGACAGAGAACGGGACAGAGAACGGGACAGAGAACGGGACAGAGAACGAGACAGAGAACGGGACAGAGAACGAGACAGAGAACGGGACAGAGAACGGGACAGAGAACGGGACAGAGAACGAGACAGACAGGACAUUACGAAAGGAUUGUUGAUAUUGUCUAAGAUUGUCGCCAUGCGUUUGGACUGUCCGACACAUCGUAGAAAAAUAAAAUGAGGCAUAUAUUGAAAGACGGAAUGACAAAGUACUGCAAGAAUUCAAUGAAUAGAUAGAUAUACAAUGUUUUUCUUUAUAGCUUAUAAAUACGGUAAUAUACACUAUGUGGUACAAAAAUAUUAAAACACUUUGCAAAAAAAACAACUAAAUGAUUCGAAGAACUGAUCAGGUACAAUAACUAGUCCUCUGUGGA
ensembl:lncRNA